ACAACACCAGCAACAAAGAAACUCAGCAAACAGGUGCCAGGAUAUUGCUAAGAUUGGAGUGAAGCAUUAGCUGCUGCUACUGCAAAUGGAAGAAUUCCUCAAAAGCUAAGCGCUAACUGAUGACAGAAGUAAAUAGAAGACUUUCUGGUUUCUUAGUAGGCAGGAAUGAAUAAAACUGACUAGAUGCUUGUAAUAGCCACUGCAAAUUCUUUUUCUGGACUGUCUAUAUAGACUUGCUUCACCAAGUGCGUGGGAAACCAUGUGCCCAAGGAAUGUGUUCUUUGUGUGCUUGACCAGAAUGCUGUAGACUCUUAAUAAAGGCAUUGGAGAUUUCACAAA